UUCGAAAAAACAAAAUUUUACAAAAUCGUAAUCCGACAAAAACAUUUAGUUGAUUUGAUGCAUAUGUUACAUAAAUCAUUCACCUAUAUAAUGCUUACAGUAUUGUUGAUAAGUGGAAUACAUUUAAUUAUAAUCAUCAUGAUAUUUAUAGCGCUAAAAAAUCACGAUAUUAGUUCGGUAAUCCGAGAUGCUGCUGGGACAAUUUUGUAUUUUUUUUCUCAAAUAUUUAUAUACUGCUAUGCUGGGGAAAAAUUGAAAUCGGCUAUGCAAGAGUCAUGUUUUUCAGUGUUUAGCUGUUAUUGGUAUAACUUUCCAACGAAGAAUUGUAAGGAUAUAAAAUAUAUUAUGCUAAGAACUAGUCAAGAAUUCCAUUUAACGGCAGGAAAAUUUUAUCGUAUGAAUUUGGAAAAUUUUAUAACCCGGGUCGAAAAAUUUAAACUGAUUUUAAGCUAAAUGAUCUGCAUUUGAACUUAUUGAUCUGUAUUUGAACUUU